AUGGGCACUCCACAGAAGGAUGUUAUUAUCAAGUGAGAUGCACCCAGCACCCUAUUAUUGGAGAAACAUGCAGAUUAUAUUGCAUCCUAUGGCUCAAAGAAAGAUGAUUAUGAAUACUGCAUGCCUAAGUAUUUAGGAAUGAGUGGUAUCUAUUGGGGUCUGACAGUAAUGAAUCUCAUGGGACAACUUCAUCACGUGAAUAGAGAAGAAAUUCUGACAUUUAUUAAGUCAUGCCAACAUGAGUGUGGUGGAAUAAGCACUAGUAUCAGACAUGAUCCUCAUCUUUUAUACACUCUUAGUGCUGUCCAGAUUCUUACUCUGUAUGAUAGUAUUAAUGUUAUUGACAUAAACAAAGUUGUGGAAUAUGUUCAAAGUCUACAGAAAGAAGAUCGUUCUUUUGCUGGAGACAUUUGGGGAGAAAUUGAUACAAGAUUCUCCUUUUGUGCAGUGGCAACUUUGGCUCUAUUGGGGAAGCUUGAUGCCAUUAAUGUGGAAAAGGCAAUUGAAUUUGUUUUAUCCUGUAUGAACUUUGAUGAUGGAUUUGGUUGCAGACCAGGUUCUGAAUCCCAUGCUGGGCAGAUCUAUUGUUGCACAGGAUUCCUGGCUAUUACCAGUCAGUUGCAUCAAGUAAAUUCUGAUUUACUUGGUUGGUGGCUUUGUGAACGACAGUUACCCUCAGGUGGACUCAAUGGAAGGCCAGAGAAGUUACCAGAUGUAUGUUAUUCAUGGUGGGUGUUGGCCUCCCUAAAGAUAAUUGGAAGGCUUCAUUGGAUUGACAGAGAGAAAUUGCACAAUUUCAUCUUAGCAUGUCAAGAUGAAGAAAUGGGGGGAUUUGCAGACAGGCCAGGAGAUAUGGUAGAUCCUUUUCAUACAUUAUCUGGAAUUGCUGGAUUGUCACUUUUGGCAGAAGAACAGAUUAAACCUGUUAGUCCUGUUUUUUGCAUGCCUGAAGAAGUGCUUCGGAGGAUGAAUGUUCAGCCUGAGCUAGAACAGCAUCAUGAAUCUGCAGAGAAGCAGCGCGAGACAAGCAGCGCUGGAAAAAAAAAAUGA